CCUACGGGGCGCAGCAGUGGGGAAUAUUGGGCAAUGGGCGCAAGCCUGACCCAGCAACGCCGCGUGAAGGAAGAAGGCUUUCGGGUUGUAAACUUCUUUUCUCAGGGACGAAGCAAGUGACGGUACCUGAGGACUAAGCCACGGCUAACUACGUGCCAGCAGCCGCGGUAAUACGUAGGUGGCAAGCGUUAUCCGGAUUUACUGGGUGUAAAGGGCGUGUAGGCGGGAAAGCAAGUCAGAUGUGAAAACCAUGGGCUCAACCUGUGGCCUGCAUUUGAAACUGUUUUUCUUGAGUACUGGAGAGGCAGACGGAAUUCCUAGUGUAGCGGUGAAAUGCGUAGAUAUUAGGAGGAACACCAGUGGCGAAGGCGGUCUGGUGGACAGCAACUGACGCUGAGGCGCGAAAGCGUGGGGAGCAAACAGGAUUAGAUACCCCUGUAGUC
rnacentral:rRNA from 1 species